AUUGACAUCUUUUAUUUUCCAUGUUGUAGACAUGAUGAUAUAAAGAUAGGCCACUGAGAUAUGUGACAUAUAUUCCAUAUUUUUAGACAUGAGGACUUGGUACUUGAGACGGAUCUUUCGCUUGCUUGCCAUUGUGCUCAUUCGCACAUGCUUGUGAGGGUCGCUCCCUACAAGCCGGCACUCCGGAGAUAGCCAUCGCGACAUAUGCUCGCUCGUGCGGGAUUGGGCGCCGAAAUAGGAUACCGUGGGGGAGGCUCAUUCCUAGAGUGGGGAUGUUGACUACCACGGGGCCAUUAGGCACAGCGCAGGCCAGACAGCCUACUGGUGGGUCUUACGUGAUUGGAACUUAGUGACAGAACAUGCCAUUUGGACUUUGACUAGAAUAGUAAACAAUGACAUUUUACUAUCUACCUUGUGGACAUUCUGUUGAUUACAUAUACAUGCUUAUACAUGUUAGUCACACUCAUGUAUAUACUUGUUGUAGUUGUUUUAUUCCUUAUGGAAUUCAUGCGAAGUAGAGAUAUCAUGAUAGAGUAGUACUCAUGGUUAUAUACUUGCUCUUUAUUUAGCUUUUGUGUAUACUCGUACUUACUCACUUUUGUUCAGUUUUGGGCCUAGUGUCGCAUUUCACUGAAGUCAGUAAUUGCCCACUGGGAACUAUUUUUAAUAGUUCUCACGCCCCUGUUUCUAUGGUUUUAUUUCAGAGCCCUCUACACCGGUGGAGGCACGGGAUCGCGGCAAGGGGAUCGCUUAGCUAGCUAGCGAGGAGCAUUUCUUUUGCAUUUUGGUAGUUCACUCUCCUUAUGAUGUUGUAGUUGAGAGAAAGAGAGUUAUGUUGGUACCUUGUAUAGAGAGACCACCUAUGUAUCCGGUUUAGCUUUUAUACUUUGGAUGUUUAUUGUAGUACUUCCGGUUUUUAUUUAGUGGAUUUAACUUUAUGUUCAUUUCGGUUAUUGUAGUAUCUAGAUAUACUUGCUCUGAUACUGCUAGAUGUUCGCUUUAUCUCGUCUUAUUUAUCGUUUUAUUUUAGACGCCUUAUAUGUUUCAGACAUAUGGCGGGUCUGGGCACGUGCCGGGCGGGCUUCCGCUGUGUCCCGGGGCGUGACAGAUUAAUUUGGUAUCAGAGCCUAGGGUUGAGUCUUAGGGGAUCUAGCAAACCUUAUGUAACACACUGGACCUUUGCAAAUUGCGAGGUUCGAGUGAUUGGCUGUGUUCUGAGCAAUUCCAAACUUUCUGGUGGGUCGUUGACAGUGUUUCAACCUAUGGCUCGCAUCCCGAGAAGUGAGGUUUAAAGCCUAGCACAAAAACCCGAAAAAAUGAAUUUUUAGAUAACUCUCGGAUUGCAUUUUCUGAGGCUGUGUACCGGUACAGGCUGAUGACUGUACCGGUACGAGGUUGAUGGUUGUACCGAUACAGCCACUAGGCUUGUACCGGUACAGGGCCGGUUACCCCGCCAACCCGAGCCUCGGGUUGUGAUUUUCGUGGGGCUUGUACCGGUACAAGGGCCCGUGUACCAGUACAUGGUGGCAGAAUCUGAAUGUUUGAUUCUGCAGGGGUGUUUUUGCAUUAUUGCCUUCUUAUAUCAGCACCCACGCCCCUAGGGCUCUCCCCUGAGCUGAGAGGAGAGGAGAACCAGGUAAGGGAGCUCCCCACACCAUCUCUUUGGAUUUGAUCUCCAUUUUGUAUAGGUUUUGAUGGAUUUUUCCUCUCUUUUGCCCUUUGGUGCCAUUUCCACCAUAGAUGAAGCUUGAGCUUGAAUUUGAGGCUUGGUUGAGGGAAGAUCUUAAUUGAUAGAGGACUUAGAACCUUGAUUGAAGCUUCUAAGAGGUUAGUAGCUCAUUCUCUUUCUCUAGAUUUGAGUUUUGUUGCUUUUUGAUAGUUUGAACCCUAGAAUGUGAAUUUAGGGUUUAUUUUGGGCAUUUUGAUUCUAGGACUUUUUGGGCUAAAUUAUUAGGAUUAGAGCACUCCUUUGGGUUGGAUUGGAAGGAUCUUAGCCUUCUUUUGGAGCUUGUGAGAGUUUUUCUCCACCCUAGGUGAGAUUUUAGCCCUUUUGCCUUGUUGGUUAAUGUUUGAUCUUAUAGUUGAUCGUAAUGCCCGUGUAUCUCUUCGCUCAAUACUUUUAGGGUAUUUGGAGACUCGUCGACAACUCCGUCGAAUCGAGGGAUUACGCGACGGUUCGGUGGGUUUGACCUAGCCACACAAUGAGAAAAUCUCAUUUGUGAUGUUUUGAGUAUCGUUAAAUGAAAAGGCAUGCAUAAUCAUGUUAGAUAUAUUUAUUAUGAAUUUUAGAAUGCUUAACAUGCAUAUGUUAUGUAUAGUGAAUUUUUGGACCCCUACGUGGUAGGAUGCAUGCAUGUGGGACAUAGCAUUCUAGUUGGAACUUGGAACCUUGAUUCCUAUGAUGAAAAUGAAUAUUACUUUCAUGCAUUUAACCUUUAAGCCCAAUUGUGACAUUAGGGGCUUUGGAAGCCUAGAGAGGCUUGGGGAUUUAGACUAUUUGAGAUUUUGGGCCAAUGUCAUAAAGAGGCAUUGGGCCCCGGGCUAUAAUGAAUGUUGGUAUAAUGUCAUAUUUGGAACAUAGAAUAUGAAUUGAGCUUGAUUAGUUGUGAUGCUUAAGUGUCAUAAAGAGGCACUAAGCAAGUGAGUGUUGAGUUAUCACAUCGUGACAUAGAGCUAGACCUUUGGGUUAUUAGUAGCUAUUGCCAUGUUUGAGACAUGAGGGUUGGAUACUUAUGCCUUGACUACGCUUGCUUGCCAUUUGUGCUCAUUCGCACAUGCUUGUGAGGGUCGCUCCCUACAAGCCGGCACUCCAGAGUUAGUCUAUACGACCUAUGUUCGCUCGUGCGGUAUUGAGAAGCCUACGGGGUCGAGUGGGACAGACACAUCCCAAGAGUAGGGAUGUUGGGCUACCACAGGCACUUAGGCGGCAUAAGCUGGACUACCUUUGGUAGGUCCUUAAUUGGAAAUGAAAAUCGACACAGUGUUGAUAAUGAAUGAUCACUACUAGAUAGGCUUAGUAGUUGGAUUACUUUGACAUGCUCAUGACAUAGCUUUGGGACAUUUGGUAUACUUGCUUGUUUCAUUCAUUGCAUUGAGGUAUACUUGGUUGCUUGAUAGAGCUUAUUCCCUACGUAUUGACAUACUGCAUCGAGAUGCUUACUUGUCGGUUAUGAUUGGAACUUAAUAGUCAUGCUUUGGACAUACUUACCAUGAUAGAGUAGAUGUACUAUACUUUGACAUCAUGGUUACUUGAGACGUAGUAGUAUAGCAUUUCAUUUAUGCUUUCUUUCAGCAGUUCUUAUACUCGCUCUUUAUUGAUUAUUAUUAUUUUUGUCGUUACUUACCCUUCUCUUUUGGGGCCUAGUGGAGCUUAAGCUGAGGUCAGCAAUUGCCCACUGGGAACUAUAAAUUAUAGUUCUCACGUCCUCGUUUUCUUGAUGUUUUCAGAGCCUUCCACGUUGGGAGAGGCUAGGGGCCGCGAGAAGGGAGUUGCUACGAGCUAGCUUCCUUCGAGGACGAUUCAUUAGGUGGUCUACCUCUCGUUGUUUUAUUUUGUGAGAGGUUGAGAGUUGUACCCGUAUAUGUAUAGAGGCCACCCUUCUUUUGGAUUUAUGUAUUUCUUUUGAGGAGUUAGAAUUGUAUCACCUUGUGCUUUACUUUUAUGGAUUAGUAUAUUUUCUUUAUUCUUGUUUUAGAAGAUAGAACUUUACUCGCUCUAAUAUCAUUAGAUGUUAUUCAUUUCUAGUCGUUGUAAUUCUUGCUUUUACUUCCGCUUUUAUUUUAGACGCCUUAUAUGUGCGGACAUAUGGCGGGUCUGGGCGCUCUACCGGGAGGGCCUCCACCGGUCCCGGGGCGUGACAGAUUAAUUUGGUAUCAGAGCCUAGGGUUGAGUCUUAGUGGACCUAGCAAACCUUAGGCCAGUUGGACUAUAGGAAAUAGGCUCGUAAGAGACGAGGUCUAUUUGACUUGUGAGCGAAAGUAUCCUGAUUGGGUGUCUUGAUAACUCUAAAAAGUUAGAAUUCGAUCGGAGUGUAUGGCUUCUAACUUCGAGGAGGGUUACGUUGGCGGCCGACAACGUAACAUCGGGAGUUAGUAGCGAAGGACACUUUCUUACUUUCACAUGAUCUGGGUUUUAUCUAUUUGAGAGGGGAUGCGAUAGCGCAGGUUACUAACUUGCGCUUUUAUAUUUUGUAGUGACAAUGCCGGUUACACGCUCCCAGUCUGCCGUGGCGGACGAUGCGGCACACCCCGAGGAGGGCGAGACCUCCGCUACUUCCGGAUCUAGUAAGGUCCGUGACUUGAGGACCCAGCUUGCGGUUCUCACUGACCUGUUGGCGCAGCAGACGGCAGCGGCGCAGCGACAGGCUGAGGUGGCUCAGCGGCAGGAGGCGCGGAUGAAGCAUCUUGAGGAUCUCCUACUUCAGCAGGCAGCAGCUUCGAGGGAGACCCAGGUUCCCACACCGCCAGCACCCGUGGUGGACGUCGCACCAAGAGCGCUGUCCCCCGUGCCCAGUUCUUCUCGUGCGGCACCGGCGACCACACCUCGGGAGGAGGUGGCUGCGGCACACCCAGUUCAGAGACCGGCCACGUGGGUAGCUUUCCCUAUGAGGGCCGAGGGAGCCGAGCUGGAUCGGCUCAUGGAUCGCCUCAAUGAGUUCAGGAGGUGCAGCCCGAGAACGUUUGAUGGCAAGAACGUCAACCACUGGAUUGUUGAGAAGUGGUUGAUGCACAUGGAGAAGCUUUUUCGAGACACCUUUGUGGAGGAGCGGGAUAGAGUUUAGCUCGCCACUCACUUUCUCGACGGCGAGGCCUAUCGUUAGUGGUUGGAUAUCCAGGACAACCCCAACACCGACUUGGCAGCGAUUACUUGGACGCGAUUCAAGGAGCUUCUUCUGGCGCACUACUUCCCGACCAGCGUCAAGAGGAAGAUGGAGCAGGAUUUGCGCAGCUUGCGCCAGGACGAGCGGACAGUGGCCGAGUACGAGAGGGAGUUCUCCCGGAUACUACACUGUGUACCGUUUGUGGUAAGGGAUGAUGAGGACAAGGCCCGCAUUUUUUAGCGCGGAUUGCGGCCUUCUAUCUUUCGGUUGGUACAGUCCUCCAACCUCUAGACCUACCAGGAGGUUGUGGAUCGAGACUGAUAGUGGAGGCAAGAGCGGCGGAUUUGCAGGAGCGUCACGAGAGCUCAGAGAAAAGGAAGGAAAAGAGGCCCGCGGUUGAGGGUGCGAGUCAGACACACUCACGGAGGCCGCCGAGGCACCCCAGGAGCCGGAGCCAGUCACGGGGACAUGGCUCGUCUACUUAGUGAGGAGUACCCGAUCGUCGCCAAGCUCCCCGCUGCGUGAUCUGUGGUGGUCCCCACUACCCGCGACAGUGUUCACGCAGCAGGGGCGGGUGUUUCUUGUGUGGCCAGGAGGGCCACUUCCAGUCGAACUGCCCGAGAGGUUCAGCGCCAGCGCCAUCUUCGGCAUCUGCACCAGCAUCNGGGCAUAUAGUAUACUUCACAGUAUCGCUUAUUACAUUGUAGUAUUUUUGGUUGCUAUGAUAGUACAUACUAGAUAUGUAGGGGACUUCAGGACAUAUAGCAUAUUUCAUAGCAUUACUUGUUGCAUCAUAACAUUUUGCUUAUGUUUCGGCAUAUUGGAUCAUGUAGAGUAGAUGUACUCCAUGUUGACAUUCAGAAUACUUGUGGCAUAGUGGUAUAGCCUUCUCUAUAUGCUUUCUUUUCUGCAGUUACAUUUCCUUAUCUACAUCUGUUUAUGUUUUGGGCCUAGUGGUGCAAUUUGGUGCAGGUCAGUAAUUGCCCACUGAGAACUAUAAUUUAUAGAUCUCAUGCCCCCUGUUUUAUGUCUUCUUUCAGAGCCUUCCACUUCGGGAGAGGCUCGGGAUCGCGGGAAAGGUAUCGCCUUGGGCUAGCUAUCGAGGGAUUUGGCGAUAGGUGGUCCACCUCUCUUUUGUUUUCUCUUGAGAGAGGUUGUGAGAGUUUUGUACCUGGUUAUAGAGACCACCCUACUUAUGUAUUUGGAGAUCUAUGAUGUAUUAGUUUACUUUAUGCUUUAGUAGUAUUAUUUUCUUUUGACUCUACCUGAUGUUAGAACCUAGCUAUAUACUUGCUCUGAUAUCCCUAGUUGUAGAUUUUCUCUUGCUUUACUCUUCCGCUUUUGUGUAGACGCCUUAUAUGUGUAGACAUAUGGCAGGUCUGGGCGCGCUACCGGGAUGGCCUCCGCCGGUCCCCGGGCGUGACACCUUAGGCCGGUUGGACUAUAGGAAAUAGGCUCGUGAGAGACGAGGUCUAUUUGACUUGUGAGCGAAAGCAUCAUGAUUGGGUAUCUUAAUAACUCUAAAAAGUUGGAGUUGAUCGAAGUGUAUGGCUUCUAACUUCGCGGAGGGUUACGUUUGCGGUCGACAACGUAACAUCGGGAGUUAGAAGUGUAGAACACUUCCUUACUUUCGCAUGAUUUGGGUAUUAUCUUUUCAGCGGGGAUUCGAUAGCGUGGGUUUGCUAACUUGCGCUUUUAUGAUGUUGUAGUAACGAUGCUGAUUACACGCUCUCAAUCUGCCGGAGCGGAUAAUGCGGCAAACUUGGAGGAGGUCGAGACCUCCGCUACCUCCGGAUCCGGCGAGGUCCGUGAGUUGAGGGGCCAGCUUGCGGCCCUCACUGAUAUGGUGGCACAGCAGACGGAGGCGGCGCGCCGGCAGGAGGGGCGGAUGAAGCGCCUAGAGGACCUUCUUCUGCAGCAGGCAGUAGCUUCCACGGAGACCCAGGCCACUACACCUCCAGCACCAGUUAUGGACGUCGCGCCAAUAGCGCCUUCCCCUGUGCCCAGUUCGUCGCAUGCGGUGCCCGCGGCCACGCCUCAGGAGGAGGCUUUGGCUGCGCCACCUAUUCAGGCGCCCCCGAUCGGAGCUGUUUUCCCCAUGUUGGUUGAGGGAGCGGAGUGGGACCGACUGAUGGAACACCUUAACGAGUUCAAGAGGUGCGGUCCCCGGAUAUUCGACGGCGAGAAGGUCGACCACUGGAUCGUGGAGAAGUGGUUGAUGCACAUGGAGAAGCUCUUCCGCGACACCUUCGUGGAGGAGAAGGAUCGGGUUUAGCUCGCUACACACCACCUGGACGGCGAGGCCUAUUGCUGGUGGUUGGAUCUCCAGGAGCACCCCAGCAUUGACUUGGCAGCUAUUACUUGGAAGAGGUUCAAGGAGCUUCUUUUGGCGCAUUACUUCCCGACCAGCGUCAAGAGGAAGAUAGAGCAGGGCUUGCACAACUUGCGCCAGGGAGACAGGACAGUGGCCGAAUACGAGCGGGAGUUUUCUCGACUUUUACACUGCGUGCCUUUCGUCGUGCGUACGGAUGAGGACAAGGCCCGGAUCUUCGAGCGAGGGUUGAGACCGUCGAUCUUCCGGUUUGUGCAAUCAUCUAACCUCCAAACCUACCGAGAGGUGGUGGAUCACGCACUCAUCGUGGAGAGCGACGUGGCAGAUGUCCAGGAGCGGCGAGAGGCUAUGGACAAAGAUAAGGCCAAGAGGCUUGCGGCUGAGGGUGCGAGCCAGACGCACUCUAGGAGGCCGCCGAAGCAUCCUAGGAGCCAGCAGCGUGGGCGUGACUCGGCGACUCACCGUGGAGGAUUUGACCGACGCUGACCUCCCCAGUGCGUGAUCUGUGGUGGUCCCCACAUUCCACCGCAGUGCCCGCAGCGGGGAGGGAGGUGUUUCCAGUGUGGCUAGGAGGGCCACUUCCGGACCGAGUGCCCGAAGGGUUCGUCACCUGCACCGUCAUCUGCAUCGGCACCGGCUCUACCAGCCGCCAGUCAGGGGACUCUAUCGGCACAGUACCAGACUGGGCGGCCACUCGUCUAGCGUUAGAGCGAGGGAUCCUGACAGGCCCCGAGUGGGCACAUAUAUGCCGCUCAGAUCGAGGAGGCGGCAGCAGCCGAGGAUGUGGUCGCAGGUAUCAUUUUACUCGAUGGCAUUAGAGUUCGUGCAUUAUUUGAUACCGGUGCAUCGCAUUCAUUCAUAGAUCGUCUGUUUGCCGAGUUACAUGGCAUCCCUAUGCUUUCUUUGUUGCAGCCGGGACGUGUAGUUGUCCCCGACCACUCUUUGGAUAUUAGAGAGUACUGCCCCAAUUGCCCCAUUCGGGUAGGAGAUUGGAUUAUGCCCGUGGACUUGCUAGCCUUGCGCAAGCUAGGGAAAUUUGAUGUGGUCUUAGGCAUGGAUUGGUUAACCAAGUAUUAUGCCACGAUAGAUUGCAAGAAUCGCACGGUUACUUUUAGAGAAUCGGGGCAGACUGAGUUUGUGUUUAGAGGAUGCCGGAGUUCGCUUUUUGCGAUGACGAUCAGCUCGUCUCGAGCUAGGCAGCUGAUCAGUAGAGGUUGCGUAGCCUUUUUGGCUAGUGUCGUGCUAAGGGGUGGGGACGACACCCCUAGAAUUGAGGAUAUCCCGAUAGUGCGGGAGUUUUGUGACGUGUUUCCAGCUGAGCUACCGGGUAUGCCACCCGAUAGGGAGAUCGAGUUUAUGGUAGAUCUCGUCCCUAGGACUACUCCAAUCUCGAAAGCGCCCUAUAGGAUGGCACCAGCGGAGCUGAAGGGCUGAGGGCACAGCUGCAGGAUCUUUUGGAUAAAGGCUUCAUUCGACCGAGCGUCUCGCCGUGGGGGGCGCAAGUUUUGUUCGUCAAGAAAAAGGACGGAUCACUUAGCCUAUGCGUGGACUAUCGUGAACUUAAUAAAGUCACGAUCAAGAAUAAGUAUCCGUUGCCGAGGAUCGACGACUUGUUUGAUCAGCUUCAAGGAUCGUGUGUGUAUUCCAAGAUCGAUUUGCAGUCAGGAUACCACCAAUUAAAGAUCAAACUCAAGGAUGUAUCGAAGACGGCUUUUAGAACACGGUAUGGACAUUAUGAGUUCACUGUUAUGCCGUUUGGGCUUACUAAUGCCCCGGCAGCUUUUAUGGAUCUAAUGAACCGUGUUUUUAAGCCUUAUCUAGACAGGUUCGUCGUGAUGUUCAUCGACGACAUUUUGGUUUAUUCCUGAAGUGAUGCAGAUCACGAGGAGCAUUUGAGGCUUGUACUUCAAGUACUUCGGGAAAAGGAGCUCUAUGUCAAGCUGAAAAAGUGUGAAUUUUGGCUUUGAGAGGUAGCUUUUCUUGGACAUUUGAUUUCGGGAUUGGGUAUAGCUGUGGAUCCUAAGAAGACUGAAGCAAUCAAGGAUUGGCCGAGACCGACAAGCGUCACGGAGAUACGGAGCUUCCUUGGAUUGGCCGGGUACUACCGGAGAUUUAUUGAGGGGUUCGCCAAGCUGUCUACUCCCCUCACGAGGCUCACGCAUAAAGGAGUCAAGUUUGUUUGGAAUGAGGCGUGCGAGAGAAGCUUCCAAGAGUUGAAGCAAAGAUUGACGACCGCCCCGAUCCUAACCCUGCCGAUAGCUGGAGCAGGGUAUGUGGUUUAUAGUAAUGCUUCACUUAAUGGAUUGGGUUGUGUGUUGAUGCAGGAUGGCAAGGUGAUCGCGUACGCUUCUCGCCAAUUAACGGAAUAUGAAAAGAACUAUCCGACGCACGAUUUGGAGUUGGCGGCCGUAGUCUUCGCAUUAAAGUUAUGGCGCCACUACUUAUAUGGCGAGCGGUGUGAAGUGUACACUGAUCACAAGAGUUUGAAGUACUUGUUCACUCAGAAGGAGUUGAACUUGAGACAGCGCAGAUGGUUGGAGCUGCUCAAGGAUUACGACCUGACGAUUUUUUACCACCCGAACAAGGCUAACGUGGUGGAGGAUGCGCUAAGUAGGAAAUCAAUGGAAAACUUAGCGAUGCAUGUUGUGGCUCAACCGCAGUUGAUCGAGCAGAUGAAGCGGUUGGAGUUGGAGGUGGUGACUCCUGACAUGCUCUUGAGGUUAAUGGCUUUGGUAGUGCAACCUAUAUUGUUGGAUAGAAUUAAAGAAAAGCAAGCUUCCGAUGUGGAGUUGCAAAGGAUUAAGGAUAAAAUGGUUAAUUGUUGCACCGGCGACUUCCUUGUGGAUGAUCAAGGAUUGAUGCGUUUUCGCAGACGGUUAUGUGUACCGGCAGAUGUGGGAAUCAAAGAGGACAUUCUUCAUGAAGCACACCGAGCACCGUAUGCUAUACAUCCGAGUGGCACCAAGAUAUACAAGGACUUAAAGUUGCUCUAUUAGUGGCCUGGGAUGAAAAAGGAUGUUGGCGAGUUUGUAGCUCAUUGUCUAACUUGCCAACAAGUAAAGGCUGAGCAUCGACUACCCGCGGAAAAACUUCAGAGUUUGCAUAUUCCCGUGUGGAAGUGGGAGAAGAUCACCAUGGACUUUGUGACUGAAUUGCCUCGCUCCCAGGCUGGGCAUGAUGCUAUUUGGGUAAUCGUGGAUAGGUUAACGAAGUUGGCGCACUUCAUACCUAUUCACACUACUUGGACUGGGGAGAAGUUAGCAUAAGUGUAGCUUGAUGAGAUUGUGCGACUUCACGGAGUGCCUACUUCGAUUGUAUCUGAUCGAGACACCCGGUUCGUGUCUCACUUUUGGAGGAGUCUGCAGGACGCUCGAUUGGACUUUAGCAUUGCUUUCCACCCCCAAAGUGACGGGCAGUCGGAGCGCACUAUUCAGACCUUAGAGGAUAUCCUCUGAGCAUGUGUGAUAGACUUCUAGAGAGGAUGGUCGCAGCAUCUACCGAUGGCGGAGUUUGCUGAUAACAAUAGUUAUCAAGCAAGUAUCAAGAUGGCACCCUUCGAGGCACUUUAUGGAUGGAAGUGUAGAUCGCCACUUCAUUGGAGCAAAGUUGGCGAAAAAUUGGCUUUAGGCCCAGAUGUGCUCCAGGAAGCUGAGGAUAAGGUUCGGAUUGCUCGGGAGCGACUUUUGACGGCGCAUAGUAAACAGAGGAGCUACGCCGAUCGACGGUGGCGAGACUUGGAAUUCCGAGUUGUAGAUCAUGUUUUCUUGAAGGUCUCACCGACAAGAGAAAUCAAGAGAUUUGGGGUUCCGGGUAAGUUAAGCCCUCGGUUUAUUGGACCGUAUGAGAUCUUGGAACAUGUAGGUCCGGUGGCGUAUCGACUUGCUCUACCGACGAACCUAUCGGGCGUGCACAACGUCUUUCAUGUAUCGGUCCUUCGAAAGUAUGUCUUCGACCUGACUCAUGUGUUGGAUGCUACACCCUUGGAGUUGCGGAACGAUUUGAGCUUCGAGGAGCAACCAGUGAAGAUCUUGGCUCGCGAGGUAAAGAAAUUACAAAAUCAGGACAUUCCGUAUGUAAAGGUCCUUUGGAGCAACCACGGGGAGCGGGAGGCCACGUGGGAGCUGGAGAGUGCGCUGCAAAAGAGCUAUCCCAUCUUUUUCAGAUGGAAUCUUGAGGUAUGUUGUUUGCUUUCGAGUUUCACGGACGAAACUCCUUUUUAGGAGGAGUGAAUGUAACACACUGAACCGUUGCAAAUAGUGAGGUUCGAGUGUUUGAUCUGUGUUCUGAGCUUUACCAGUUAUUCUGGAGGGUCGUAGACAGUAUUCCGGCCUAUGGCUCGCAUCCCGAGAAUUGAGGUUUAAAGCUUAUACCAAAAUCCAAAAAGAUGGAUUGUUGGUCCUGCUCUCGGGUCAGCCUCAACAAGGCUGUGUACCGGUACAACCAUACCGGUACAACCUUGAUAGUUGUACCGGUACAGGAUUUGUACCGGUACACCUUGAUGGUUGUACCAGUACACUAUAGGAUUUCUGCCAACCCGAGGCUCGGGUUGGGCUAUUUCGUAGGAAGUGUACCAGUACACUUUUUCGUGUACCGGUACACAAUGUAGACUAGGCUGUUUUCAGGGAGGGGUGUAUUUGCAAUUGUUGCAACCUCUUUAAAUACCACCCCAGCCCCCCUUAGCUGCUCUUUUGAGCCCUUAACCUGAGGAGACAAGGUAAGAACUCCCCCUCUUGAGUUCUUUUCUAUUUUUUGAUGGAUUUUAGUGGGUUUUGAUCUCCUUCCCUUUGCUCUUCUUUGCUUCUUGUUGGAUUCCUCCAUGGGAGAAGCUUGGAUUUCGGGAUUGGAGCUUGUUUGAGGAUCAACCUUCAAUCCUAGAGGACUCUAGGCUUGGUUUGGAGCUUUCAAGAGGUAAGUAACAAGUUUCUUUCAUCUAGAUUUGUGUUUUGUUGCUUUAUGUUAGUUGAAACCCUAGAUUUUGAGAUCUAGGGUUAGAAAUGGGGAUUUUUGAUUUGAGGCUUUUAGAACCAAAUUGAUUGGUUUAGAAUCAUGGUUUAGGUUGGCUUAGAAGGACUCUAACUCCUAUUUGGAGAUCGAGAGAGUUUUCUUCGCGUUCGGUGAGUUUUUCACCCUUUUCUUGAGUUGCUUAAUGUUCGAUCACUUGGGUGUUCGUAAGAUUCGUUUAACUCUCUUUUCUAUACCUUUAGGGUACUAGGAGAGUGGUGGACACCUUCAUCGGAGUAAACGAAGGGUUUCGAUUAGCUUCGAUGGGUUUGGCUUUAUUGGAAUAGGAGAAAAUGUCUCCUAAGUGGUUAAAUGCUUUCGUAUCAUCGUAGUUUAUGCAUUUUCAUCCUAGAUAGGAUUUAUGUGAAUUUUUGAAUGCUUAGAAUGCAUGCAUUAUGUAUCAUGAAUAUUUCUCUCUAUGUGAAGAGCCUUAUGUGUAGUAUCUAUGCAUGUGUUAAGUAUUUUUAUUGCACGUUUGGAAAUAUGUCUCUUAUGAGAAAAAUGUUUAAAAUUUGGUACUCUUGAACAUAAUCACCAUGCUUGACUUAGUGGACAAAGUGCCAUAAAGGGGCACUUGACUUAGAAAACUGUGAAACUGCAACUUAGAGACAUAGUGAUAGGCCAUUGACAUCUUUUAUUUUUCAUGUUGUAGACAUGAUGACAUAGAGAUAGGCCAUUGAGAUAUGUGACAUAUAUUUCAUAUUUUUAGACAUGAGGACUUUGUACUUGAGACGGAUCUUUCGCUUGCUUGCCAUUGUGCUCAUUCGCACAUGCUUGUGAGGGUCGCUCCCUACAAGCCGGCACUCCGGAGAUAGCCAUCGCGACAUAUGCUCGCNACAUGAUGACAUAGAGAUAGGCCAUUGAGAUAUGUGACAUAUAUUUCAUAUUUUUAGACAUGAGGACUUUGUACUUGAGACGGAUCUUUCGCUUGCUUGCCAUUGUGCUCAUUCGCACAUGCUUGUGAGGGUCGCUCCCUACAAGCCGGCACUCCGGAGAUAGCCAUCGCGACAUAUGCUCGCUUGUGCGGGAUUGGGCGCCGAAAUGGGAUGCCGUGGGGGAGGCUCAUUCCUAGAGUGGGGAUGUUGACUACCACGAGGCCAUUAGGCACGGCGCAGGCCAGACAGCUUACGGGUGGGUCUUAUAUGAUUAGAAUAGUAAACAAUGACAUUUUUACUAUCUACAUUGUGGACAUUCUGUUGAUUUCAUAUACAUGCUUAUACAUGUUAGUCACACUCAUGUACAUACUUGUUGUAGUUGUUUUAUUCCUUAUGUAAUUCAUGCUAAGUAGAGAUAUCAUGAUAGAGUAGUACUCAUAGUUAUAUACUUACUCUUUAUUUAGCUUUUGUGUAUACUCGUACUUACUCACUUUUGUUCAGUUUUGGGCCUAGUGGCGCAUUUUACUGAAGUCGGUAAUUGCCCACUGGGAACUAUUUUUAAUAGUUCUCACGCCUCCGUUUCUAUGGUUUUAUUUCAGAGCC
rnacentral:lncRNA from 1 species